UAUAUAUAAACGAUCGAUGUUGCUUCGCAAUUGCACAGUUUAUACCUUGGUGACGUGGGCGGGUUCCGUAACGACUACCGCUGCAGCGGAGGCGGCAGCCUGCUUGGCUAUCUCCGGGGGGGUGUAGAGGGGGUUGGCGGUGGUGGCGACGGCGCCGAGGCGGGAGGCGGCGAGGAAGGCGAGGGCGAACUCGACAGAGUUGGGGAGGAGGAGCAUCAGCGUCUGCCCCCGCCGGAGCCCCAACCGACGCCGGAGCCCCUCCGCCACCCGCCGCGACAGCCGCUCCACCUCGCCGUACGACAGCACGGCCCCCGUCGCGCCGUCAAUCAGGCACGCCCGCUCCCGCCGCCUCUCCAGCUGCUCGAAGCAGUACUCGUGCAGGGGCAGGUGCUCCGGGAUCGCUAUGUCCGGGAGCUUGGACCGGAAUAUGUGUUCCUCGCCGGAGGGGGAAUAAGAGCCCAUUUUCCAACGAAAUAAGCAGCACCAGCACCAGCACCAGCAGCAGGACGAUGCGGAGGAGCAAGAACAAUACAAUUAAUGAACAAUUAAUGAAGAAGAAGAAGAAGAAGAAGAAGAAGAAGAAGAAGAAGUAGUGCCGAGUGGAUCUGUUCUCCUCCUUGGAAUGGAGCGCGGGGCGAGGAGAGCGGUAAUAUAGGGGGUGCUAUCCAGGACUCCGAUGGCAUUUCGGUAUUUGUCGGGGAGCGGAACGGGAAACGGAACAGAGUGGGGGUUGGUGAGAAGAGGAUGGCUUUGACUCCACAAAUUGACGACGCCCGCUUGAUGAAGUAAAGCGGCGGCUUUUUUUUGGCCGCGUUGGCUCGCGCCACCUAACACGGGCAGCGGGGCUCGGGUUCUUUUAUGCGGACGUGUGAUGCUAUCGUUGAUUUCAGGUUUGAGGGAAGUUCGGAGCCACCUACCGCGAGGCGGAAGGGCGGAAGGGCGGACUGGUUCAACUGGACCGACGUCCGCAUGAGCUCACAGCGGCUUUGAGAAACUGUUUCCUGGACCCCGUGUUGCCUCACACUCCAAGCGCCGUUCUUUUUCUUUUCUUUUUGUUUUUUUUUUUUUUAAUUUUUGAAGAUUUACUAUUUCAAUUAAGAGUAAUGCUUCUAUACUGUUUUUUUUUUUUUGUUACCGUUCAUUCACGCGUAUUCAACGACUCAGAUUUAGUUUUUUUAAAAUUGUGACCUGCAAUAGCAGGUCACUUUGGGAGAGGUACUAGUUACCAGGUAUCUCAAAAAAGGAUAUUUUUGUCUUUUAAUAUAUGGACAAUUUAGUCAUUUUAUAUCUACUAUAUUUUCAAAAUUUUUAUUUUNAAAAAAAAAAAAAAUAUUUAAGACAAUCGUUGGGGGAUUACAUGAGUCCUUGUAAACAGAGAUACAAUUAAGCCAUGGCUGGGAAUCUUGCAAAAGUGAUAUAUUUGCUCAAUACAGAGUAUUUUUUAUUAGUAUUAUAUAUAUAUUUUUAAAAAGGACGAUUUGAAUAAUUUUUGUAAAAGUGCACACUACAAUAAAACAAAUCCAACCGUAUAUAAUUUUAAACAAAACUUAUUCUAUGUAAAAAAAAAAAAAAAAAAGAAAAAAUUAAAUUUCAUAGUUCGUGCGUAACAGUUUCCGACGGAAGCUGUAACUAGAGCACGUAACUUUCAAAUUACAAAUACCCAAAUCUUCGUGAAAGCUAGACUGCUAUCAUAAACCGCUUUACUAGUUUGCUUUUUUUUACUUGUUCUCUUUUCUGAAGGGGACAUAUUUUAGUAGUGUAAGGUAACCAACCCAUCUUCUCAUCUCAAGACCACGAAACCAAAUCAAAUGGAUAGGAUAGGACAAGACUAAACUAAUUUGCAGCAAUACGGAUGUACAUAUGAAUGCAUGUAGGCGUACCUGGCCGAGUUUAGCAUUGGGGAGCUUGGCCCUCAGAGUGUCCUGCAACUCCUUGCCCAUCGGCGCCGCCCCUGAUAUCACGAGCCGAACCGAUGAGAGAUCGUAGCGAUCCACCGCAUCGCUCUUCGCCAUCUCCACCACUAUCGGCGGCACCAGUGCGGCAACGGUCACCUUGUACCUGUCGAAUCGCCAAAAGAAAGAAACUGCUUAAUUGGAGAAGGAAUCAUUGGCUAGAGGCUCAAUUAAAACUUACUCGAAAAGGAGAAAUUAAGAAGAAUUAUAUAAAAAAAUAGUUGACCUCUCGACGAGCUCCAUGAACUUGACGAUGUCGAAGCGCUUCAUGAUGAGGACGGUGGCACCAGCUCUCAGGCCGCAGAGGAGCACGGAGUUGAGGGAGUAGAUGUGGAAGAGGGGCAGCACGCAGAGGACGACGUCCUCCUCACUGAAGUAGAGGUUGGGGUUGUCGCCAUCGACCUGCUGCGCCACGCUCGUCACCAGCCCCCGGUGGGUCAGCAUCACCCCCUUCGGCAGCCCUGUCGUCCCCGAUGAGUAUGGCAGCGCAACCACGUCCUCCGGCACUAUCGUCGCCGCCGACGACGACGACGUCCCCUGCUCCUCCUCCUCCUCCUCGGCCGCCAGCAGCUCCGAGAAGGGGACGCACCCCUCCGGCGUCUCUGCGUCGCCGGUGGUUACGAUCGGAAUGCCGAGGGCCUUGACCUGUUGAUCGUAUAUACAAUUUAAUGGUUAAAAUGUUAUUAUAUCCCACUGUUUUACAAGGCAUCAGAACAUUUUUUUUUUUUUUAAAUCUAAAAUUAAAGACUUAUUCAGUCAAUUAUUGCCGUUGAAGGACAAAGGACAGAUUAAGCACAAAACGUUAAGAUUCGCAAAAAAACCCCGUCCGGGCCAACAAUAGCUCUUUUCCAACAGAAAAAAAAAAAGAAAAAAAGAAAAAAAAGAAAAAAAGCCCACGUCAACGUCCCGUGCUUAAUUGUAACUAAAAUUCACCAAUACAAGGGCCAGGGCUGGGCUGCUGCAGGCUUCUUUUCUUUUUUUUUCCAUUUUGGGGUUUUUUUUUUUUUUUUUUUUUUUUUCUCCCUCAAGGAGUCAGAGAUUAUAUUUAUUUAUAUAUAAACGCAUCGAUGUGCUUUCGCAAUUGCACAGUUAUACUUGGUGACAGUGGCGGGUUCGUAACGACUACCGCUGCAGCGGAGGCGGCAGCCUGCUUGGCUAUCUCGGGGGGGUGUAGAGGGGGUUGGCGGUGGUGGCGACUGGCGCGAGGCGGAGGCGGCAGGAAGGCGAGCGAACUCGACAGAGUUGGGGAGGAGGAGCAUCAGCGUCUGCCCCCGGAGACCCAACGACGCCGGAGCCCUCUCCGCCACCCGCCGCGACAGCCGCCACCUCCACGUACGACAGCACGCGCCCCGUCGCGCCGUCAAUCAGGCACGCCGCUCCCGCCGCUCUUCAGCUGCUCGAAGCAGUACUUGGUGCAGGCAGGUGCUCCGGGAUCGCU
rnacentral:lncRNA from 1 species